rnacentral:rRNA from 1 species
GUGCCAGCAGCCGCGGUAAAACGUAGGAGGCGAGCGUUAUCCGAAUUUACUGGGUGUAAAGCGCGUGCAGGCGGUUCGGUAAGUUGGAUGUGAAAUCUCCCGGCUCAACUGGGAGAGGUCGUUCAAAACUGCCGGGCUAGAGGUCGGUAGAGGGAGGUGGAAUUCCCGGUGUAGUAGUGAAAUGCGUAGAUAUCGGGAGGAACACCUGUGGCGAAAGCGGCCUCCUGGGCCGUACCUGACGCUCAGACGCGAAAGCUAGGGGAGCGAACGGGAUUAGAAACCCCCGUAGUCC